rnacentral:lncRNA from 1 species
AAACCUGCUGAGCAGCUACAGAGCAGGGCCAAGGAGGAUUCCUCUGGACUGGAGCCUUUCUCUCUGGAUGGCCAAGAUGCCCAGGACUUCUUCAGCCAAAGGAGCAAGAAUGGAUUAAUGCCGACUUCUCUUCCAGGAGAGGG